rnacentral:hammerhead_ribozyme from 1 species
GUCUAGCUGACAAGACUCAAAUAAGACGAAACGCGCGUCCUGGAU